rnacentral:piRNA from 1 species
AUUUGAUACUGUAAGGAAAAAAAGAGG